CGAAAGUACACGCCAGUACAGUAGAUGGCGGUAUACGCGAACUGACAACCAAAUCCUAACGAAGAAGAAGAACAGACGUAAACAAAGAGCAUGUCGUACAUAUUCAUUCAAACGAGAGCAGGACCACUGACGGUUCAACCACAGCGUCAGAAAUGCCGAUAUGGAGGUGGACUACAAGCAGAACUACACAAAUCUCAAACGCAAAUUGAAAUUCAUGGUUUAUGAGCAGGAGUGUUUUCAGGAAGAGCUCAGAAGAUCCCAGAAGAAGCUGCUCAGAGUGUCCAGAGAUAAAAGGUGGUGGCCCCUUUAGCAGCCAACUUCCCAGCGGGCCCGACUGCCCCUCCCACAUCCAGCGCCUCGUUCAACUGGGUGCCCAGGCAGAUACUGAGUGGAGACGAGGGAGGUGGAGAGAGCGACGGAGACUCAGACAGAGGAGACGACAACAGGGGGGAAGGAGAAGAGGCUGACCUUGUCAUCGAUAUAAUGGAGACGUUAUGUUUUCUACCAAUGACUUUUAAAAAUGAAAUUGCAUUAAAGUGGUAACAUUUCAGGUGA